rnacentral:rRNA from 1 species
AUGAGAGCUCAAGCAAAAAUAAAACACUAUGCAGAUGCAUGCAAAUCGGAAAGAUCAUUUCCAGUGGGUGACUAUGUGUAUCUGAAGCUCCAGCCAUAUGCUCAACAUUCUAUGGUCAACAGGCCGUGUCCUAAGCUGGCAUAUAAGUACUAUGGGCCAUUUAAGGUCUUGGAAUGCAUUGGACCAGCAGCGUACAAGUUAUUGUUGCCUGAGGGUGCACAAAUCCACCCAGUGUUCCAUGUAUCUCAGCUAAAGGAACACAAACCUGAUCAUACUCCAGUGUUUUCUGAACUCCCAACUCAAGUGGAUCUAUCUGCAGGUAAUUUGGUUCCUGUGCAAGUCCUCGAACGGAAGAUGGUGAAGAAAGGCAAUGCCGCGCACGUGCAAAUCCGGGUCCAGUGGGCGGGUCUUCCGGAAGCAGCAGCUACGUGGGAAGAUUAUGAAGUCCUGAAGAAACGCUAUCCGGCGGCACCAGCAUGGGGGCAUGCUGGAUUUCCAGCGGACGACACUGUAAGCGACCAAGAGCAUAUGGGUGGCAAAGCAAGGGAGUAA